rnacentral:rRNA from 1 species
AUUGAACGCUGGCGGCAGGCCUAACACAUGCAAGUCGAGCGAGCGGCGGACGGGUGAGAAAUGUCUGGGAAACUGCCCGAUGGAGGGGGAGAACUACUGGAAACGGUAGCUAAUACCGCAUACCAUCAGAGGUGCCCAGAUGGGAGUGGCUAGUGGGGGGGGUAAAGGCUCACCUAGGCGACGAUCCCUAGCUGGUCUGAGAGGAGGACCAGCCACACUGGGACUGAGACACGGUCCAGACUCCUACGGGAGGCAGCAGUGGGGAAUAUUGCACAAUGGGCGAAAGCCUGAUGCAGCCAUGCCGCGUGUAUGAAGAAGGCCUUCGGGUUGUAAAGUACUUUUAGCAGGGAAGCGUUACCUGCAGAAGAAGCACCGGCUAACUCCGUGCCAGCAGCCGCGGUAAUUC